rnacentral:rRNA from 1 species
AUUGAACGCUAGCGGGAUGCUUUACACAUGCAAGUCGAACGAGUGGCGGACGGGUGAGUAAUAUAUCGGAACUUGCCCCUUAGGGGGGGAUAACUACUCGAAAGAGUGGCUAAUACCGCAUACUCUUUGAACGGGCGAUAUCGGAUUAGCUAGGUGGUGGGGUAAAGGCUAACCAAGGCAACGAUACGUAGCUGGUUUGAGAGGACGACCGGCCACACUGGGACUGAGACACGGCCCAGACUCCGCGGGGAGGCAGAUGUGGGGAAUUUUGGACAAGGGGGGAAACCCUGAGCAAGCCCGCCCGCGUGGAGGAGAAGGCCUUCGGGUGGUAAAGUACUUUUGGCAGAGAAGCGGUAUCUGCAGAAUAAGCACCGGCUAACUACGUGCCAGCAGCCGCGGUAAUUC